rnacentral:pre_miRNA from 1 species
GUUUUCGAGCUACCAUCGUGACGAUCCAUCAAUACUACCGGGAAUUCAACAUCCAGAAAGGAAUUCCCACUUCUCAUAGCGAUUAGGCGCGGGCUAUUAAUGGAUGGGUUAAAACGAUGGACGCUCA